ACUCAAAUGAAUUGACGGGGACCCGCACAACUGGUGGAGCGUGUGGUUUAAUUCGAGACAAAGCGAAAAACCUUACCAGGGCUUGACAUGAUACCGUUUUAUACUUUUGGAAACAUUAGUAGAUCCGCAAGGAUGGUAUUACAGGUGCUGCAUGGCUGUCGUCAGCUCGUGUCGUGAGAUGUUCCCUUAAGUGGGGAAACGAGCGCAACCCCCGUGAAAUGUUAAAUGUUCAUUUCAGACGGUCCCGAUCAUAUCGGGAAGGAAGGAGGGGAAGACGUCAAGUCAGCACGGCCCUUAUGCCCUGGGUUACACACACCCUACAAUGGCGAAGAACAAAGAGCAGCAAGCCGGUGACGGCAAGCAAAUCUCAGAAAUUUCGCCUCAGUUCAGAUUGAAGGCUGCAACCCGCCUUCAUGAAGGAGGAAUCAGUAGUAAUCGCGAAUCAGCAGGUCGCGGUGAAUACGUUCUCGGGUCUUGUACACACCGCCCGU
rnacentral:rRNA from 1 species